GCGAUGCUCUGCCGGCCCCCUCUGGCUUCACCUAGACGUGGGUGGAUGGAGCUCCCAGACGUGGGAGACUUCUAUCUGGUGGUCAUUCGGAAAUGGAUGAAUCACGUUCUGUCUGAGGUCCCACUACACUUUCUGUAUGUUUGAUAUGAUAUCCAGAGCUUUGGUUAUGUGUUUCUGUACAUGCUUUGGAUAAGAAUGAUAUGAAUGCAACGUCAAAGACGACGU
rnacentral:lncRNA from 1 species